GUGGGGAAUUGUUCGCAAUGGGCGCAAGCCUGACGACGCAACGCCGCGUGGAGGAUGAAGGUCUUCGGAUUGUAAACUCCUGUUGCUCGGGACGAAAAGCUUCGACCUAACACGUCGAAGUCUGACGGUACCGAGUGAGGAAGCCCCGGCUAACUCUGUGCCAGCAGCCGCGGUAAUACAGAGGGGGCAAGCGUUGUUCGGAAUUACUGGGCGUAAAGGGCGCGUAGGCGGCCUGCUAAGUCGAACGUGAAAUCCCUGGGCUCAACCCAGGAACUGCGUCCGAUACUGGUUGGCUUGAAUCCGGGAGAGGGAUGUGGAAUUCCAGGUGUAGCGGUGAAAUGCGUAGAUAUCUGGAGGAACACCGGUGGCGAAGGCGACAUCCUGGACCGGUAUUGACGCUGAGGCGCGAAAGCCAGGGGAGCAAACGGGAUUAGAAACCCUUGUAGUCC
rnacentral:rRNA from 1 species